CUUGUUAGUAGAUCAAUUCAUCGGUGGUUUUGGCUGCUUUUCAUGAGAUUUGUUGACAAUAAGAAAAAAGGAAGAAUACUGAUUGUAUGAUGAGUCAUUUCCAGAUUGUUCAUGUUAAUAGUUUGACAUGUGAGAACAGCCACAAUACCACAAUUUAACCCUGAUCCAGUCCAGUAGAGGUCCAGCAGAGGGCGCUAUGCAUCUGAUGCCUGUACUGAUCUCACUGUGUGUAAUUUAAUCCCCCCCAGAACUGCAGGUCAGAUUAACAGUAAAACGGUGCAUGCAGUCAGAUUCAUCUGUAGCUAAACAUUCAUUUGUUUUUGCCGAGAUGACUCAUAGCACACGUUUGUGCUUCACAUAUUAACCUUAAAGCACCUUCUUCUUUGUUAUCGUGUUUCCCCCCACAUAUUUCAGCUCUGUUAACAUUCCAGUAGCCUCAAUAUUCACAUCUGCAACAAUUAGUCGAUUUAAUCUGCAACUAUGUCGAUAUUUGAAUAAUCGUUUCAGUCACUUUUUAAAGCAGAAACCAAAUAUUUGCUGGUUGUAGAUUCUCAGAUUUGAGGACUUUUCUGUGUCAUAAAUGGCAGUAAACUGAAUAUUAUUGUGUUUUUGACACAUUUUGAUCAAACAAAACAAGACAGCUGGAGCAUCAACAUGGCCUCUAAGAAAUUGUAACGAGCAUUUUUCACUGUUUUAUGACAUUUUAUAGACGAUUAAUUGAUUAAUGGAGAAAACCGUUAGUUGCAGCCCUACUCUGAUUUAACCUGUUUCAUCCGUCUGUCUAUAAAUGUGUGUGUGUGUGUGUGUGAGUGAGACAAACAAUAUUCCAAUAGUACAUGUCAGCAAGUAGGCAUUCAGUCUCCAUCUUAACUCCAUUACCCGUAUUGUAUGUUGAUAGGUUAACAUGCAUAUUAAGCAUCCGUCAGUCAUUGUUGCAUGUGUGUGUGUGUUUGUAAACAUGUGGAAAAUGUCAGAAAUGGCCUCUAAAUAACCCCCCUGUGUUCACUCGUGUUUGUAUAUUAAUAUAUUAAUGAUCAAGUAGGAAAUUCUCUUCAUGAGGUGUUCAGAGCCGUUUGACAGGAUAAACAAAAUCAGUGUUUUAAAGGACGGGUUCGGAUGUUUUUAAAGUCAAUCUUAAUGCAAACUAAUAUGCUUAUAUAAACCACUACAUUUACCUGACAGAUAAAUGUUACUGGUUGUUACUGGUUACGUUGCAGAUUCAGAUUUUACACACAAAAUAAAACAAUUAAAAUCUGAUGCACUAUUAUUAUUGAUUAAACUAUCCAGCAUCAUUUAAGAUUUAAAAGCUCCACUUUGAACAGACGUUAAGUAAUUUUAUGUACAUUGUGCUUAUAAUAACAUCUCUUUCACUCGUCACUUAUGAGUAAAAAUUUGAAUACAGGACUUUUUCUAAAGUAUUUUUAAAGUGCUGUAUUAAUAGUUUUACUUCUUAACUCUUAUUAUUUUCAGCUGUGGACUGUCUUGAUCGGGUCAAGCUGAAUCAAUAGUGAAAGGUCGAGCAGCUUUUCAGCCCUUCAAAUAUAACAGUGUUAUUAAGAAAUUGCUAGAGUGCAAAAUUCCCCAUAUCAGAUAAAGAGCAGAACAAAGCUGCUAUCAUUACUCUAAAUUUAGGUUAACGGCUAACAGCUAGUCUAGUCAGUUUAUUUAGAGCACAUUUCACAGUCAUAAAAAAACCCAGACAUAGUUAUGAGGACCAAGGGGGAAAAUAAAUGAAUAAAAGUGUAGAAUAAAAUAAAUGAAAAUGGGAUCUAAUAAUAGAGAGAGAAAAUAGAUAAAUAAAAUAAAACAAAAACAGAGUGAGACCGUUCAUAUCUUCAUGAUGACGGAUGGUAACACCGUGGUUUCCAUGCAGUGGACGUAUUCUGUAACUCCACAUGAUAACAUAAUAAUACAGUCAUUAGAAGUAACGAUACAGAAGGGAGCUAACCUGGAAUGCUAACGUUAGUAGCUAACGUUUGUAGCUAACGUUAAAACAGACGAACACACAUUUUAAACCAUUCAUUGCACUUUGCAAGUCUAAUCAAUUCCUCUUUCUGUCCAUUUGUAUAAACUUUCUCAUUCAUUGCACCAUAACAACCAUUGUGUCAUUACGGUUUUUAUAUUAGCUAGGCUAUGAUUGGUCAACCACUGUUUGGGCACGGCGUGGGGUUUAACAAACGGUGAAUUUUGUACAAAAAAGACUAAAUUCGGAAGAUAUAGACAUGAUUCAUCUAACUCAACUCAACUGAACUUCAAAGUGUAUUAUUGCCUGAUAUAAAGACAAUUUUGGACCUUUCAAGACCACUGAGGAGAAAUAAAUACAACAAAUAACUCUCCCAGCGUACACACAGUACAGCGUAUUGGAGAACUGUUUUACAGUAGACUUGAAAAUAUCCGAACCUGUCCUUUAAGUAGCAGCAGGGUUGUUUAGGAGUCGGCUGUGUUACAGUGUUAUAUUAGCACUAUUUCUGUCUCUUUGCAUCUUAAUUCCAUGUGUAUGUUUGAUUCAUUCAGUGUUAUCACUCGCGAGCAUUUUGCCAUAUUCCAGGAGAAAUUGUUGACUGUGUGAUUCUGAGUAAAUAUUUUUUAGCUGUUUACUUAUAUAUUUUUUUGUUGUUUUUUUGUUGUUGUUGUAAUAAUUUCAUUUCUUUGGUAUCAAAAGACUGAAUGUAAAAAGAUAAUCAUUACUUCGUGCUACUUAUACUGAUUGAGAGAAAUGUCGGGUGGGAGGGUUGACGACGUGGAGAGCUGUGUAUUAAUAUAUGACUGCUUAGGUAGAAUAUAAUUCAAGGGUGUAGUUUAUAGGUAAUCGGUCUCAGUUUUCAGGUACAACACUGUUACCACAAGAGUUAUUGAGAACUGAAGUUUAAUCAAUUCCUCUUUCUGUCCAGGUUACAUUUGUAUAGACUUUCUCAAAACUUUUUUGGGUGCAUUGAGACUCCAUUGCAUUUAACACUUUCAAUAAUUAAGUUUCUUAGGAAAUAAACUCGAUCCUGUUCUAAA